UUUUGCUUUCAGCUUCUUUACAGUGUUGCCUUGUGGCAUGGAGUUCAAGCAGCAUUGUACAGGGCUAUCAAAGCAUCG
rnacentral:pre_miRNA from 1 species